rnacentral:tRNA from 1 species
AAAAAUUUAGUUAAAAAAUAACAUCAACUUGUCAAGUUGAAAUUAUCUUCUGAUAAUUUUUU